rnacentral:rRNA from 1 species
UACGUAGGGGGCAAGCGUUGUCCGGAUUUAUUGGGCGUAAAGAGCUCGUAGGCGGUUUCGUAAGUCGGGUGUGAAAACUCUGGGCUCAACCCAGAGACGCCACCCGAUACUGCGAUGACUAGAGUCUGGUAGGGGAUCGUGGAAUUCCUGGUGUAGCGGUGAAAUGCGCAGAUAUCAGGAAGAACACCAACGGCGAAGGCAGCUCGCUGGGACGGUACUGACGCUGAGACGCGAAAGCGUGGGGAGCGAACAGG